ensembl:lncRNA
AUCAGAGGUUGGAACUUGGAACCCAGAACCCAACCUGACGUCAUCGCAACAAACUCUCACUGCGCAUGCGUGUGAACUAUAAAAGGCAGGAUCGCGCGUUUGUUCUUCCCAGUUCCGUGUUUCUUGUGAAGGGUAAGCACUUUGUGGUUUUUAUUUAUUUCUUUCUACUAGAAAAGUUUUUUAAGUCUCGUUCUGUAGUGUUACACAGUGCUAAAGUUGUACGAAUAAAACUAAAAUUAAAAUAACUAAAAUUAAGGAUUUUCGUGUAGUUCCGCGCUGACCACGUGGCUCGUUUCCUGUGCACCCGGGAAAGUUCUAGAGACAAAGAAACCUUGACUGGUUCUGGUUUACUAUUCUAUUAUACUAGCCUAUUUAGAGCAUAUGGUUGUUACUAAGAUGGAUGCACACAAGUUAAUGUUAUUCAAUUGUUUCAACGUUGCACAUGUAUGUGGGCUGUUGGACCAUGGAGGUUUCCUACAGUGCUUCCUCAGAUUUUGAUCAUACUGGAGCCAAAUGGAUGACCUUAAAUUCAUCAGACUUCGUUUCAUAAGUCUUUAACUCCCCAAAACAGGAGAAUUCUGUAAUUCAAGAGGACCACACAAUGAGAGACCCUUGACGAAUGGCCACAUGUGAAGGCGUUUGAGCGACCUGUGUUCCUGAAUGCCCUUCAGUGCCAAGCCCACGUGGAGCAGUGGAUGACAUACACGAGGGGUUUUCUCAAAGCAGACUAGUGUUUACCAGCCAUAGGAGAGGAAAUACCUUUUUAAAGUUUUAGAGUAUUAAAGUUGCUAUUAUUUUGACCUACUAGUGUUCCAACAUGCUUUUUGAGGCAUUCAAGUUUGUUCAACUUUAAUUUCUCAGAAUGCUUUCACUAAUUAUUGCUUGUAACUUGUUGGUUCUAUGCUUGUGUAAAUGGUCUUUCAGCAGGCAGUUACCUCUUUUACUGUUUCAAUAAAACUAGUUAAUGACUUUGCAUUUAUGAAAACUGUGUGUGGGGGGCUUUUUUUGUGUGUGACCUUUUUAUAGAGGUCAAAUAAUGUAAAUCAAGCUAAGCUUUCAGUGGUGUGAAAUUUGUGUGGGGGUCAUGCAAAUGUUAAAUUGUAUGAUUAAUGUAGGUUGUGUCUAAAAUGCAGGAACUUAGAGGUCAUUAUUUUUAGGUCCUAUCAAGAUAAUGGUGCUCUUAUGCAUUUAACACCAUAAUUAAAUACUAUACUGCACACGGUUUUAAAGCAUUCUUCCAUGUUAACCAAGCAGUAGCUCUUUACAUGUUUCUUCUGUUAUAUGAAUGGUCACAAAGCCUGCUUCUCCAAGGUUUUAAAUUAGUGAAUUGUACAUCCACUAAAAUUGAAAUAACUGACAUUUGUAUAGGGCACUAAGAAAUGUGUUCUGUCCCCAUUUGAUUCACAGACAGAAAAGGCAAUAUCAAUCUUUUGUACAAAAUAUACAGACGUCUUAAGACUUCAAGACAUCCCACACUAAAAAAAAAAACUCAUUCCGAUAAAUCCACCCAAUGCUGCAACAAUUCUCUCUUUUGUGUCUGCAGUGAUGUAACCGCAAUCUAUGAUCCAAAUAACCUGAAAACAAACAAACACAAGAACACUUUAAAUUAUGCAACUCUCCACAAAAACAGUGUUUUUAAGAGAUAAACAUGAUUAUUUUGAGAGCAUGACUAAAGUCGAUACUCACAAGAUCAUGCAAAACAUGAUGAAAAUGUUCCAAAGAGCAAUGAAUAUGCGAAAGUACCGCAGACUCAGCAAAAACUCUCUGAUGUUGUCACCUAAAUAAUGC